GACGAACGCUGGCGGCGUGCUUAACACAUGCAGGUCGAACGGCAAGGCCCUGCUUUUGUGGGGUGCUCGAGUGGCGAACGGGUGAGUAACACGUGAGUAACCUGCCCUAGACUUUGGGAUAACUUCAGGAAACUGGGGCUAAUACCGUAUAGGAGCUCAUGCUGCAUGGUGGGGGUUGGAAAGUUUCGGCGGGUGGGGAUGGAUUAGCGGCUUAUCGGCUUGUUGGUUGGGUAGUGGAUUACCCAGGCUUUGACUGGUCGCCGGCACGGGAGGGUGGACGGCCACAAGGGGACUAAGGUACGGCCCAGUCGCGUACGGUGGGCAACAGGGGGAAAUAUUGCACAAUGGUCGGAAGCCUGAUGAAGCAACGCCGCGUUCGGGAUGACGGCCUGCGGGUUGUAAACCGCAUUCGCCUGUGACGAAGCGGGAGUGACGGUAAUGGGUAAAGAAGCACCGGCUAACUACGUG
rnacentral:rRNA from 1 species